rnacentral:rRNA from 1 species
UUCCGGUUGAUCCUGCCGGAGGUUACUGCUAUCGGUGUUCGCCUAAGCCAUGCGAGUCAUAUGUUCUUCGUGAACAUGGCGUACUGCUCAGUAACACGUGGAUAACCUGCCCUUGGGUCCGGCAUAACCCCGGGAAACUGGGGAUAAUUCCGGAUACCGCAUAUAUGCUGGAAUGCUUUAUGCGUCAAAUGGAUUCGUCUGCCCAAGGAUGGGUCUGCGGCCUAUCAGGUAGUAGUGGGUGUAAUGUACCUACUAGCCAACAACGGGUACGGGUUGUGAGAGCAAGAGCCCGGAGAUGGAUUCUGAGACAUGAAUCCAGGCCCUACGGGGCGCAGCAGGCGCGAAAACUUUACAAUGCGGGAAACCGUGAUAAGGGGACACCGAGUGCUAGCAUCAUAUGCUGGCUGUCCAGGUGUGUAAACUACACCUGUUAGCAAGGGCCGGGCAAGACCGGUGCCAGCCGCCGCGGUAACACCGGCGGCCCGAGUGGUGAUCGUGAUUAUUGGGUCUAAAGGGUCCGUAGCCGGUUUGGUCAGUCCUCCGGGAAAUCUGAUAGCUUAACUAUUAGGCUUUCGGGGGAUACUGCCAGGCUUGGAACCGGGAGAGGUAAGAGGUACUACAGGGGUAGGAGUGAAAUCUUUGUAUCCCUGUGGGGACACCUGUGGCGAAGGCGUCUUAC